rnacentral:rRNA from 1 species
GACGAACGCUGGCGGCGUGCCUAAUACAUGCAAGUCGAACGAACUCUGGUAUUGAUUGGUGCUUGCAUCAUGAUUUACAUUUGAGUGAGUGGCGAACUGGUGAGUAACACGUGGGAAACCUGCCCAGAAGCGGGGGAUAACACCUGGAAACAGAUGCUAAUACCGCAUAACAACUUGGACCGCAUGGUCCGAGUUUGAAAAAUGGCUUCGGCUAUCACUUUUGGAUGGUCCCGCGGCGUAUUAGCUAGAUGGUGGGGUAACGGCUCACCAUGGCAAUGAUACGUAGCCGACCUGAGAGGGUAAUCGGCCACAUUGGGACUGAGACACGGCCCAAACUCCUACGGGAGGCAGCAGUAGGGAAUCUUCCACAAUGGACGAAAGUCUGAUGGAGCAACGCCGCGUGAGUGAAGAAGGGUUUCGGCUCGUAAAACUCUGUUGUUAAAGAAGAACAUAUCUGAGAGUAACUGUUCAGGUAUUGACGGUAUUUAACCAGAAAGCCACGGCUAACUACGUGCCAGCAGCCGCGGUAAUACGUAGGUGGCAAGCGUUGUCCGGAUUUAUUGGGCGUAAAGCGAGCGCAGGCGGUUUUUUAAGUCUGAUGUGAAAGCCUUCGGCUCAACCGAAGAAGUGCAUCGGAAACUGGGAAACUUGAGUGCAGAAGAGGACAGUGGAACUCCAUGUGUAGCGGUGAAAUGCGUAGAUAUAUGGAAGAACACCAGUGGCGAAGGCGGCUGUCUGGUCUGUAACUGACGCUGAGGCUCGAAAGUAUGGGUAGCAAACAGGAUUAGAUACCCUGGUAGUCCAUACCGUAAACGAUGAAUGCUAAGUGUUGGAGGGUUUCCGCCCUUCAGUGCUGCAGCUAACGCAUUAAGCAUUCCGCCUGGGGAGUACGGCCGCAAGGCUGAAACUCAAAGGAAUUGACGGGGGCCCGCACAAGCGGUGGAGCAUGUGGUUUAAUUCGAAGCUACGCGAAGAACCUUACCAGGUCUUGACAUACUAUGCAAAUCUAAGAGAUUAGACGUUCCCUUCGGGGACAUGGAUACAGGUGGUGCAUGGUUGUCGUCAGCUCGUGUCGUGAGAUGUUGGGUUAAGUCCCGCAACGAGCGCAACCCUUAUUAUCAGUUGCCAGCAUUAAGUUGGGCACUCUGGUGAGACUGCCGGUGACAAACCGAAGGAAGGUGGGGAUGACGUCAAAUCAUCAUGCCCCUUAUGACCUGGGCUACACACGUGCUACAAUGGAUGGUACAACGAGUUGCGAACUCGCGAGGGUAAGCUAAUCUCUUAAAGCCAUUCUCAGUUCGGAUUGUAGGCUGCAACUCGCCUACAUGAAGUUGGAAUCGCUAGUAAUCGCGGAUCAGCAUGCCGCGGUGAAUACGUUCCCGGGCCUUGUACACACCGCCCGUCACACCAUGAGAGUUUGUAACACCCAAAGUCGGUGGGGUAACCUUUUAGGAACCAGCCGCCUAAGGUGGGACAGAUGAUUAGGGUG